rnacentral:rRNA from 1 species
UACGUAGGGUGCGAGCGUUGUCCGGAAUUAUUGGGCGUAAAGAGCUCGUAGGCGGUGUGUCACGUCGGCCGUGAAAACCUGCAGCUUAACUGUGGGCGUGCGGUCGAUACGGGCAUCACUGGAGUUCGGCAGGGGAGACUGGAAUUCCUGGUGUAGCGGUGAAAUGCGCAGAUAUCAGGAGGAACACCGGUGGCGAAGGCGGCGACCUGGGUCGAUACUGACGCUGAUGCGCGAAAGCGUGGGGAGCAAACAGG